GGCAAUGUAGCCAAGUGGUCUAAGGCGCUGUGUUUAGGCUUUCAAGGAAGUCAGUUCCGCAGUUCGAAAGAGCGCGGGUUCGAAUCCCGUCAUUGUCA